GACGAACGCUGGCGGCGUGCCUAAUACAUGCAAGUCGAACGCAGUGGGGCCGGGUGAGUAACACGUUGGUAACCUCCCAUCAGAGGGGAUAACACUUGGAAACAGGUGCUAAACCGAUACUGAUGGAUGGACCCGCGGUGCAUUAGCUAGUUGGUGAGGGAACGGCUCACCAAGGCCACGAUGCAAAGCGGACCAGAUAGGGUGGUCGGUCACACUGGGACUGAAACACGGCCCAGACGCCUACGGGAGGCAGAGAUAGGGAAUCUUAGACAAUGAACGAAAGUCUGACCGAUCAACGCCGCGUGAGAGAAGAAGGUUUGCGGAUCGUAAAACUCUGUUGUUAGAGAAGCGGUAUCUAAGCAGAAAGCCACGGGUAACUACGUGCCAGACGCCGCGGUAAUAC
rnacentral:rRNA from 1 species